rnacentral:rRNA from 1 species
GGUCAAGAUACGAAGGGCAUACGGUGGAUGCCUUGGCGCUUUGGGCCGAUGAAGGACGUGGUAAGCUGCGAAAAGCCACGG